AUGCUUCAUCAAAUAGCAAGUGCUAAUAGGGGGACUCAAGUUUGGCGGAGAGAACGUCCAAACCCAAUGAACCCGGGUGAGCUAAUCCUGGACCGCUUAUUCUGGGCAUUCGCCCAGACUAUACAAGCCUUCAGGCACUGUCGCCCGGUAUUAUCUGUUGAUGGUACCUUUCUCACUGGAAAGUACAAGGGCACACUAUUGGUGGCAAUUGCAGCGGAUGCAAAUAAUCAGCUUCUUCCUAUUGCAUAUGCAUUGGUCGAGAGCGAGAACAAAAAUAGCUGGUUGUGGUUCCUGAGCUGCGUGAAGAUUGGUGUCGUGAAAGAGUGUAAAGGUGUUUGCAUCAUUUCUGAUCGCAACACUGGAUUAUUAAGCGCUCUUGAAAUAAUUAAGGCGUCGGAAGAAGAGUGGGGCUGGCCCGAUCUAGAGGGAAGGUGGUGCAUGAGGCAUUUGGCAGCAAACUUUUACUCCAAAUUCAAAAACAAGGAUUGGUUCAAGUUAUUCAAGAGGAUGUGCAUGCAAAAAACUGAAGCCAAAAUGAAUGCGAUAUGGGCAGGUAUCAAUGGUGAGAUCAAUCGCGCGGCCUUGCCGCAGAGAGAAGACCGGAGGGGUCGUAGGACGGCCAUAAAUUUGAGCCAGUGGAUCACCGAGAAUUGCCCUCAUUUGGAGAAGUGGGCGCAGGCUCACGACACCGGGGCUCGGUAUGGAAUAAUGACCAGCAACAUGUCAGAGGUGUACAAUGGUGUUCUUAAAGGGGUGCGAGCACUGCCUAUCACAGCCCUAAUUGAAGAAACUUGGAACCGGACCCUGUCAUACUUUGCAGACAGGGUCACCGUCGCCAAAGCACAAGUUGAAUUGAACAAGCCAUGGUCCGAGAAGAUGCAAAGACAUAUGGACGAGAAAGCAAAGAAGUCUCAAAGUCAUGGCUGCAGGAAAGUGGACGCAUUUAGGAAUAAGUGGGAGGUCAAUGUGCGAGCCAAGUACGUUAAGGGUCACCACGGAGGAUCAAAAAAGCAAGCUGUCACCCUUGGCUCAACCUCCUGUGAGUGCACUUGUAACAAGCCCAAGCUUGAGGGCUACCCUUGCAGUCAUGUGCUCCGGGCGGCUGCUGUUCAAAAAAUCAGCGUCGAGCCAUACAUAUCGCCGUACUUCAACAUGUACAAUCUGUACAACACUUGA
rnacentral:rRNA from 1 species